rnacentral:rRNA from 1 species
AUGCUCCGCCUCGCCGCCGCGAGAUCGCGGGCCCUCCUCCUGCCCCGGCCCGACGUCGCCGCCCUCUCCACCCCCUCCUCCUCCUACUCCUCCUACGCCCGCGGCGCCCCCUCCCCCUCCUCCUACGCCUACCGCGCGGCCUCCUCCGCGGCCGCCGCCGAGGAGGCCGCGGCCGCUGCGGCUGCGGCGGCGUCCGGCGCUGGCGCGGAGGCGGCCGCCGCGGCGCCGCCUCCCCCCGCGGCCCGCAAGGGCUGGGUCAGGGGCCUGCUCAAGUUCGGCGUCUUCGCGGCCUUUGCCGGAGCCAUCGGCGGCGCCGGCUACGCCACCCACGCCUAUUCGCUGUCCGAGGUUGACAAGAAGACCCUGGAGUUCAGGAAGGAGAUGACCACCCCGAUCCCCGUCGCGGAGGACGCUUCAGAAUUCGAGAAAUUUCGGGCUAGGGCUUACGAAACAGCUAUGAAAGUUCCUGUUGCAGCGAUAGAGCUUUACCUGGAAAUUAGGGCCAGAAUUGAAGAUCAUGUUGUGGGCUUUACUGAACCCGCAUCAGACAAACUGUUGCCAGAUUUACAUCCGGACGACCAGAAUAUCUUCACCCUAGUUGUUGAUCUGACUGACACUCUUGUAUGCAAUGAUUGGCAGCGUGAGAGAGGUUGGAAGACAUUCAAGAGACCAGGAGUUGAGGCUUUUCUGCAACAUAUGGCAACCAUGUAUGAAGUUGUUGUAUAUUCUGAUCAAGUGCAAAUGUAUGUGGACCCUGUGGUUGAAAGGUUGGACUCAACGGGUCAGAUACGCAAAUUAUCAAGGCCUGCAACUAAGUACCAAGAUGGUAAACAUUAUCGGGAUUUGUCAAAGUUGAACAGAAAUCCUGCGCAAGUUCUUUACGUCAGCGCACAUGCUCUUGAAUCCUGCCUGCAACCUGAAAAUUGUGUUACAGUCAAACCCUGGAAACUUGAAACUGAUGACACUGAAUUGCUGGAUCUGAUUCCAUUUCUUGAGUAUCUUGCCAUAGCAAGGCCUUCUGAUAUUCGGGCAGUGCUUGCUUCCUAUCAAGGUCAUGACGUUGCUAAAGAGUUCCGUAAGCGUAGCAAAGAACUGGAGAGGCACAAGCAAGCGAAGCAACGCAAGAGCAUAUGGCGGCGGUGA